rnacentral:rRNA from 1 species
CCUACGGGAGGCAGCAGUGGGGAAUUUUGGACAAUGGGCGCAAGCCUGAUCCAGCAAUGCCGCGUGUGGGAAGAAGGCCUUCGGGUUGUAAACCACUUUUGUACGGAACGAAACGGUUCGCUUUAAUACAGUGGGCUAAUGACGGUACCGUAAGAAUAAGCACCGGCUAACUACGUGCCAGCAGCCGCGGUAAUACGUAGGGUGCGAGCGUUAAUCGGAAUUACUGGGCGUAAAGCGUGCGCAGGCGGUUAUAUAAGACAGUUGUGAAAUCCCCGGGCUCAACCUGGGAAUUGCAUCUGUGACUGUAUAGCUAGAGUACGGUAGAGGGGGAUGGAAUUCCGCGUGUAGCAGUGAAAUGCGUAGAUAUGCGGAGGAACACCGAUGGCGAAGGCAAUCCCCUGGACCUGUACUGACGCUCAUGCACGAAAGCGUGGGGAGCAAACAGGAUUAGAUACCCUGGUAGUCCACGCCCUAAACGAUGUCAACUGGUUGUUGGGUGCAUUAGUACUCAGUAACGAAGCUAACGCGUGAAGUUGACCGCCUGGGGAGUAGGCCGCAAGGUUGAAACUUCAAAUGAAUUGACGGCGNGNGAGNGCGACGGACGACGACGAGGGAGGAGG